rnacentral:rRNA from 1 species
GAUGAACGCUGGCGGCGUGCCUAAUACAUGCAAGUCGAGCGAACAGACGAGGAGCUUGCUCCUCUGACGUUAGCGGCGGACGGGUGAGUAACACGUGGGUAACCUACCUAUAAGACUGGGAUAACUUCGGGAAACCGGAGCUAAUACCGGAUAAUAUUUCGAACCGCAUGGUUCGAUAGUGAAAGAUGGCCCUGCUAUCACUUAUAGAUGGACCUGCGCUGCAUUAGCUAGUUGGUAAGGUAACGGCUUACCAAGGCAACGAUACGUAGCCGAUCUGAGAGGGUGAUCGGCCACACUGGAACUGAGACACGGUCCAGACUCCUACGGGAGGCAGCAGUAGGGAAUCUUCCGCAAUGGGCGAAAGCCUGACGGAGCAACGCCGCGUGAGUGAUGAAGGUCUUCGGAUCGUAAAACUCUGUUAUUAGGGAAGAACAAACGUGUAAGUAACUGUGCACGUCUUGACGGUACCUAAUCAGAAAGCCACGGCUAACUACGUG